GUACCCUUAAUAUACUAACACUGGUGUAAUUACAGUACCAUUAAUAUACUAACACCGGUGUAAUUACAGUACCAUUAAUAUACUAACACUGGUGUAAUUACAGUACCCUUAAGAUACUAACACUGGUGUAAUCACAGUACCCUUAAGAUACUAACACUGGUGUAAUUACAGUACCCUUAAUAUACUAACACUGGUGUAAUUACAGUACCAUUAAUAUACUAACACUGGUGUAAUUACAGUACCAUUAAGAUACUAACACUGGUGUAAUUACAGUACCAUUAAGAUACUAACACUGGUGUAAUUACAGUACCCUUAAGAUACUAACACUGGUGUAAUUACAGUACUCUUAAAAACCUUAAGAUACUAACAUUGGUAUAUAUAAUCACAGUACCCAUAAGACACUAACAGUGGUAUAAUCACAGUACCCUUCAAAACCUUGAGAAACUAACAUUGGUGUAAUCACAGAACUCUUUAGAGAUUAACAUUAGCUUAAUCAUACUAUCCUUUAAAGUUAACUAACGUUAAUGUUAUCACAACAUGCUUUAGAGAAUAACGCUGAUGUAAUUACAGUACCCUUUGGAGAUUAACAUUGGUGUAAUCACAAGCAGUAUGAUUAAUAUUACAUAAUACUCAUUAGAAAUUAAUGUCGGUGUAAGAGUUUCUUUGACUUGCUCGUUGUUGGAACUGGGCUAGACGCUUGAAGAACUACAGCACAAAGCUUCAGAUGCUCAUUUAAACGUUGCUCUAAGGUCUAAACGAGGCGUGUUUGAUCAUACAUAGUCUCGCUUACAUCAAGUUGUAGUACGGGGACUUACUAUAUGCUUUCUAUCUAUUUAGUUUAAAAAAAAAGUAAAAUUUUCAAAAUUAUGUUGUUUUUCUUAGUUCUCCUGUCGGACACAAAGGAUCCUGAAGUGUGUUACUAGCUUUAGCUUUGUCUCCGAGUUUAACUUGCAAGGUGGACCAGCACGUGCUUACAAGACAUCCUUUGUUUUUUUUAAAUUCUUUAUCAGGUCUUUUCAGUCUCCAAAUACUCACAAGAUCACUUGUCCUAUUGUUAAUAUUGCUCUUGUGUAUUGUAUUAUGAUGUAGUAUAUUAUUUGUUCUAUUGUAAAAUGCGAAAGUGCUAUUAAAUAUCUGUUAUUUGUGUGAA